rnacentral:rRNA from 1 species
AUUGAACGCUGGCGGCAUGCUUUACACAUGCAAGUCGAACGGUAACAGGGAGCUUGCUCCGCUGACGAGUGGCGAACGGGUGAGUAAUGCGUCGGAACGUGCCGAGUAGUGGGGGAUAACGCAUCGAAAGGUGUGCUAAUACCGCAUACGUACUGAGGUAGAAAGUGGGGGACCUUCGGGCCUCACGCUAUUCGAGCGGCCGACGUCUGAUUAGCUAGUUGGUGAGGUAAAGGCUCACCAAGGCGACGAUCAGUAGCGGGUCUGAGAGGAUGAUCCGCCACACUGGGACUGAGACACGGCCCAGACUCCUACGGGAGGCAGCAGUGGGGAAUUUUGGACAAUGGGCGCAAGCCUGAUCCAGCCAUGCCGCGUGUCUGAAGAAGGCCUUCGGGUUGUAAAGGACUUUUGUCCGGGAGCAAAUGCUGGUGGCUAACAUCCACCGGAGCUGAGAGUACCGGAAGAAUAAGCACCGGCUAACUACGUGCCAGCAGCCGCGGUAACAC